rnacentral:rRNA from 1 species
UACGGGGGGAGCAAGCGUUGUUCGGAUUUACUGGGCGUAAAGGGCGCGUAGGCGGUCAGCACAAGUCAGUUGUGAAAUCUCCGGGCUUAACUCGGAAAGGUCAACUGAUACUGUGCGACUAGAGUGCGGAAGGGGCAACUGGAAUUCUCGGUGUAGCGGUGAAAUGCGUAGAUAUCAAGAGGAACACCUGCGGCGAAGGCGGGUUGCUGGGCCGACACUGACGCUGAUGCGCGAAAGCGUGGGGAGCAAACAGG